rnacentral:rRNA from 1 species
GACGAACGCUGGCGGCGUGCCUAAUACAUGCAAGUAGAACGCACAGUUUAUACCGUAGCUUGCUACACCAUAGACUGUGAGUUGCGAACGGGUGAGUAACGCGUAGGUAACCUGCCUGGUAGCGGGGGAUAACUAUUGGAAACGAUAGCUAAUACCGCAUAAUAUUAAUUAUUGCAUGAUAAUUAAUUGAAAGGUGCAAUUGCACCACUACCAGAUGGACCUGCGUUGUAUUAGCUAGUAGGUGAGGUAACGGCUCACCUAGGCGACGAUACAUAGCCGACCUGAGAGGGUGAUCGGCCACACUGGGACUGAGACACGGCCCAGACUCCUACGGGAGGCAGCAGUAGGGAAUCUUCGGCAAUGGACGAAAGCCUGACCGAGCAACGCCGCGUGAGUGAAGAAGGUUUUCGGAUCGUAAAGCUCUGUUGUAAGAGAAGAACGGGUGUGAGAGUGGAAAGUUCACACUGUGACGGUAUCUUACCAGAAAGGGACGGCUAACUACGU